CGCGGCCUAUCAGCUUGUUGGUGAGGUAACGGCCCACCAAGGCGACGACGGGUAGCCGGCCUGAGAGGGUGACCGGCCACACUGGGACUGAGACACGGCCCAGACUCCUACGGGAGGCAGCAGUGGGGAAUAUUGCACAAUGGGCGCAAGCCUGAUGCAGCAACGCCGCGUGAGGGACGACGGCCUUCGGGUUGUAAACCUCUUUUAGCAGGGAAGAAGCGAAAGUGACGGUACCUGCAGAAAAAGCACCGGCUAACUACGUGCCAGCAGCCGCGGUAAUACGUAGGGUGCAAGCGUUGUCCGGAAUUAUUGGGCGUAAAGAGCGCGUAGGCGGUUUGUCGCGUCUGCUGUGAAAAUCCGAGGCUCAACCUCGGACCUGCAGUGGGUACGGGCAAACUAGAGUGCGGUAGGGGAGUUUGGAAUUCCUGGUGUAGCGGUGGAAUGCGCAGAUAUCAGGAGGAACACCAAUGGCGAAGGCACAUCUCUGGGCCGUAACUGACGCUGAGGAGCGAAAGCGUGGGGAGCGAACAGGAUUAGAUACCCUGGUAGUCCACGCCGUAAACGGUGGGUGCUAGCUGUG
rnacentral:rRNA from 1 species